UGGAUGGAGCUAAUGUUAUUGUAAUGCCAGCAUUAAUAAGAGCCAUUGUAGUACUGGACGGCUCCAGCAGGGGGCGCGUUGUGCUGGGAGCUAUACUAGAGGACACCUGACUUCCUGCUUGCAGUCAAUACAGACGUGAGCGGAGCGAAGUUGUGUCCUCGUAUCUGUAUACUCAAACAUCUCCCUUCUCAGGCUUUUUGCUGACCACAUACGUUUAUUAAUUACAAAUGUAAUUAAUAAACAAAGCAGUGCAACUGGCACAACAGCGCCCCCACCUGGCAAGUGAGACAACGCAAAACAUCAGAAGUGCAGUGGGUCCUCUAAUUUGUAUGCCGCUGUGACGCAUGGAGUUGACACAAGGACACGUCUGUGAGGAGAGCGGGCGAGCGGUUCUUACGUAACGCCAGUCUGCAUGAAUCGACGCGAGGGGGAUGGGUCCUCAUGUGUUCCUGUGGCUGUGCCUAUCUGGCUGAGUCAGUGCUUGCACGAGUUGGGGCAGUUGUCUUUGAAGAUGACACAAACAGGGAAGAGGGUCCACACUGCGAGAGAUCGGGACAGAUGUGGAAAGGACAGAGGACAGAGACUGACAGAUGUUUUCCCUGGAGGGUUAGUUUGAGCGAGAAAGAUAACCACGGGGAAUGGCCGCCAGCUCAAAUCGUGAUGCCGAACUUCAGUCCUGAACCCUGGAACACAAUAUGUGCUCUCUGUGCCCAGGGACGUGAUCCUGAGUUUAAAAAACGGGGGACGAUACAAUACAAAGGUCCUUUUGGUGUUGACUAUCAACACGAGUAGAAGCUCGCUAAUAUGAUGAAGGGUGUGCUACAUGAGCGCUUGGACAGGUUGACGAUGGGAUUUGGGUUGGUCAAAUAAGGUGGAUAGUGUGUGUGUGUUUGCUGGAUACAUGAACAUAUCAGAACCAUGGGCACCACUUGGCAGAUUUCUUUGAGAGUGAAGGUGAUAUCACAGCAGGCUCGGUGAAGCCAACUGUGAAACUGCACCGCUUGAUCAUCCUAUUGCUUUGUGUGUUUAAUCAGUACUUACAGUUCUAUUUAAAUACCCUGCAAUUUAGUUGAGAAAAAAAAAGAGCAGUGGCACCUGAAUACGGUAUCGCUGUCAGCGGGCUGCUUUUACAAAGAUCAUCUCUGAUUGGCUUUGAUUUUAUGUUUGUUCUCGCCAUGAAAAACAAGCGGAAGAAGUUUUGUCUGCCAUGCAUUUUCUUUUGUCAAUGCCACAAAUUUGCAUUAAUCGUUACCAUGGAAACACAGCUCUCCCAUCAUCAUCAAACAGAAAUCAUAUUUGUGAAACCAGCCCCAAUGUGUGUGUGUGUGCUGUAACAAUGAAGAUUAUUUUUUACAAUAUGGUCAUGAUUAGGGUUGCAAAGAGGGGGAAACAUCCGGCAAGAUAAAGAUAUUUUGGAAAUAUUCAGAUUUAAUGACAAUUAAUGGGAAUUAUGUACAAAUGUCAUAAAAGCCUGUGUGCAAAUUAGUAUUACCAUAAUACAAGUGCAUCUCAAUGCAUGAGAAUGUGGUGCAAACGUUUUUUAUGAUUUUUCUUUAAUGAGAUACUCAAUUUGGGUUUUUCAUAGUGCUGUCAAACAAUAAACAUGUUCAUGUGAUUAAUUAAAAUUUUGAAUUUUGAUUACUGUAUUUU